UUUUUGAGUUUUUAUCAAUUUAUAUAAUUAAUAUAAAAUUUAACUGAUUUUCAUAACUAUUUGUAAUAAAUCUUGUAUAAAGAUCGUUUGUGUUGUUUGUAGUCAUGCACAAUCUUGGAUAAUAUGCACAUAUAGUGUCACCGUCCAAACCAUCAUAUUCAUACUAAGGAAUAAAAAAACUCUUAUCAUAUCCACGAAAAUCCAUAGGUGAAAAAAAUCGUACAAAAAAAAACUUAAAAAAUACGGUAGUUAGAAAAGAACCCAAAACUAAUACCAACUUCAUUAAACUAUUCUUCUUUUAAGUCAGUUUUGUCUUAAUUAUUAAUAUCAUCUCUUGAGUUUUCAUCAAUUUAUAUAAUUAAUGCAAAGUUUAACUCAUGAUUAUUUGUAAUAAAUCUUUAAUAAAGAUCGUUUGUGUUGCUUGUACUCAUGCACAAUCUUGGAUAAUAUGCACAUAUAAUGUCACCGUCCAAACCAUUAUAUUCAUACUAAGGAAUAAAAAAACUCUUAUCAUAUCCACGAAAAUCCAUAGGUGAAAAAAAUCCUAUAAAAAAAAACUUCAAAAAUACGGUAGUUAGAAAAAAAAAAAAUUAAUACCAACUUCAUUAAACUAUUCUUCUCUUAAGCCAGUUUUGUCUUAAUUAUUUAUAUCAUCUCUUGAGUUUUCAUCAAUUUAUAUAAUUAAUGCAAAGUUUAACUCAUGACUAUUUGUAAUAAAUCUUGUAUAAAGAUCGCUUAUGUUGCUUGUAGUCAUGCACAAUCUUGGAUAAUAUGCACAUAUAAUGUCACCGUCCAAACCAUCAUAUUCAUACUAAAGAAUAAAAAAACUCUUAUCAUAUCCACGAAAAUCCAUAGGUGAAAAAAAUCCUACCAAAAAAAAUUUCAAAAAUACGGUAGUUAGAAAAGAACCCAAAACUAAUACCAACUUCAUUAAACUAUUCUUCUUUUAAGCCAAUUUUGUCUUAAUUAUUUAUAUCAUCUUUUGAGUUUUCAUCAAUUUAUAUAAUUAAUGCAAAGUUUAAUUUGAUUUUCAUGACUAUUUGUAAUAAAUCUUGUAUAAAUAUCGUUUGUGUUGCUUUAAUAUGCACAUAUAAUGUCACCGUCCAAACCAUCAUAUUCAUACUAAGGAAUAAAAGAACUCUUAUCAUAUCCACGAAAAUCCAUAGGUGAAAAAAAUCCUAUCAAAAAAAACUUCAAAAAUACGGUAGUUAGAAAAAAAACCAAAACUAAUACCAACUUCAUUCAACUAUUCUUCUCUUAAGCCAGUUUUGUCUUAAUUAUUUAUAUCAUCUCUUGAGUUUUCAUCAAUUUAUAUAAUUAAUGCAAAGUUUAACUCAUGACUAUUUGUAAUAAAUCUUGUAUAAAGAUCGCUUGUUUUGCUUGUAGUCAUGCACAAUCUUGGAUAAUAUGCAUAUAUAAUGUCACCGUCCAAACCAUCAUAUUCAUACUAAGAAAUAAAAAAACUCUUAUCAUAUCCACGAAAAUCCAUAGGUGAAAAAAAUCCUAUAAAAUUUUUUUUCAAAAAUACGGUAGUUAGAAAAGAACCCAAAACUAAUACCAACUUCAUUCAACUCUUCUUUUCUUAAGCCAGUUUUGUCUUAAUUAUUUAUAUCAUCUCUUGAGUUUUCAUCAAUUUAUAUAAUUAAUGCAAAGUUUAACUGAUUUUCAUGACUAUUUGUAAGAAAUCUUGUAUAAAGAUCGCUUGUGUUGCUUGUAGUCAUGCACAAUCUUGGAUAAUAUGCACAUAUAAUGUCACCAUCCAAACCAUCAUAUUCAUACUAAAAAACUCUCUUAUCAUAUCCACGAAAAUCAAUAGGUGAAAAAAAUCCUACAAAAAAAAACUUCAAAAAUACGGUAGUUAGAAAAGAACCCAAAACUAAUACCAACUUCAUUAAACUAUUAUUCUUUUAAGCCAGUUUUGUCUUAAUUAUUUAUAUCAUUUCUUGAGUUUUCAUA
rnacentral:sRNA from 1 species